rnacentral:misc_RNA from 1 species
GUGAAUCAUCGAAUUUUUGAACGCAAAUUGCACUUUCUGGUAUUCCGGAAAGUAUGCCUGUUUGAGGGUCAGUUAAAAUAAAAUCGGGGUUGUUUCUUCUUUUCGUUGUUACGCGUCGGAAUUGAGUUGUCUUACCCUCGGUUUAGUGACUUAAAAUUUUGCCUGAUUUUCGUUCGUAUUUAAAUUUCUUACGUACGUUUGAUUUAUCGAAUACUUUAUUAGGUUCGGUCAUCCUCAUGAUUCGCACCUAUAAUUUUUCAUUAAAUUACCUCCAAUCAGGUAAGAAUACCCGCUUAACCUU